GUCCUGCCAGCAAAGAACCUGUAGAGAGGGAGACAGUGAAUAUACACUCUAAUCUUACUCUUGUCCUCCCUCUGAUUUCUUGACAGUGCCCGCUAUUGGCUGAAAACGGAAGGCUAAGGCACCUGUUGAUAAAGUCCACGCCGUUCUCCCUCUCAGGGCACAGAAAAGAGAAGCACGGAGAGUGGAUCUUCAGGGGAAAAUGGAAGGUCUUUAUCACAGCAAGUCUGAAGGACCCAUGAGGCCAGAGUGCCCGGAGCCUAGUAGGCAAACGAGUGAACAGCAGGAGAUGAGAGCAGUGAGGGCAAAAGAGACUUUGCUGAUGUGAUCAAGUAAUGGACUUUGAGAUGAGGAAGACUAUUCUGGAUUAUCCAGGUGAGCUCCAUGUGAUCACAUGGGUCCUUAAAAAUCAGAGAACUAUCUUGGCUAUGGUCAGGAAGAUGAAAUCUUGCUGAUUUUGAAGACAGAGGAAGAGGGCCAUGAGUCAUGGCUUGUGGGUGGCCUCUACAAGCUGGAAAAUGGAAGGAAACAGAUUCUCCAGGAAGAAACACAGCCCUGCUAACACUAUGAUUUUACCCCUGUUUGGUCUGUGUCACACGUCUAAUCUAGAGAAGUGCAAGAAAAUUAAUUUGUGGUUUCCAUCUACAACAUCUGUGGCACUGUGUUACAGCUGCAAUGGAAAAUUAAUACAUAGUGUCAUGAUUUUGUUUUAGAUGAUCAUCUCAGUUGAAUGAAGAAACAACCAAAAUGGUGAAUUUGAAGAUUUCAAAUGAGAAGCAGUUUCCUUCCCUCAUAUUGAAGUGUAGGUACGGGUCUAGAGUGGCCUGGACCCUUCCCCACUAUACCUGAAUGUCCUGAGAAGGCGAUGUUUGUUCCCUCAUUGUAGAUGAAGAAACAGAGAUAUUAAAUAUAUUUAUAAGAUACUCCAAAUAACAGAAUGGAUCCAGCACUGAAACCCACUUUCCACCCUGCCCCCCCGCACAUUGCCUCAAAGGCUUUCAUAUAUAUGAAAUAUAUAUGCUUAAGAAAUCCAAGUAAAUUUGGAAGAGGGAUGAUUACGCACA
rnacentral:lncRNA from 1 species